rnacentral:lncRNA from 1 species
GGGCGAGGGCGAGGGCAGGAGGAAGGGGCAGGGGAGGCGGCAAGCAACCCAGCAGAAGGGGACUCGCCAGUACCAGGGAUCAAACUCAGGACCUGGUGCUUGCCAGGUAGACGCUGCGCUGCUGAGCUACAUCUCCGGCAGUCAUUUGUUUUUCUGACAGCUACCUUUUCUAGCUCUUCUACCUCCGGACCAAGCUAUGUGGUUGUUUCUGGCAAGUGGAUGUAGACAAAAGUAGCUCAUCCAAUGUGCUGGGGAAUCACUGAAAAUUUAUGAGAUGAAAUCUGCAAUUUCAAAGUGUUAACCUGUGUUGUAUGAAAAUUUAUUGAAUGAGAGGGCUGGAGUUUUAGAAUGGAAAACAUGAAGAUAAAAUUGUCUUGGAAUAAAACAUUUGUUUGUGCAGUGAAGUGGACCCUAAGAUGUGACUAAAUGGACAUUGAUUAAAAGGAACAGAAGCACUGAUGUCUACAGAUCCUGUUACAGUCUACUGAGGAAAGAAAGGAAGAACCAAUAUGGGAGAUAGAACCACUAGUCUUUUCCACAGGUUACUACCAAGAAUCUAGAGAAAACAUAACAGGCAGUGGUAAAACAUGAGAAAUUUAUCUUUAGAGUCAGGAGCAAGUCCAGGGUACCGUCAUCACAGCUUCUCCUCAACAUUUAAUUGUAAUUCCCAACCAGUGCAAUACUUCUUAAAAGAGUAAGAAUUAGAAAGAAGGAAGGAAAGGUAUCCUUAUUUAUAGACUGUGUGAUUAUUUAUACAGAAAAUGUAAGAGACUGUGUAGACAAGCAAGAGAACAAACAAGAAAAUUAAGCAUUCUAGAUACAUUUCAGGGUGUAAGAGGAAAUAAUUGUGUGUAUGUAUGUGUGUCCACCCUCCCAUUUCCAAUAAAUACCUGUGGAACAUAUGCAAGACCUAUUAGGUGAAAUUAUAAAACAUUAAAUAAAGGACGCACUGGAUAAAUGAGACUCUGAGGGAUGGAAAGAUAUAUUUGAGUUAAUCUCACAUAUCUCCCAUGAAUUUACAAUGAAUCUAUGAACUGUAAUUUCUGUCAGAGUCCCUAAAAACAUUUUAUGGAAUUUAACAAUGUAAUUCUUAAAACUGAUAUGGAAGAUUAAAGAGACAAAACUAGCAAAAAUUUUUGAAAAAGAAAUUGGGGAUUUGCCCUUGUAGGUUGAUUAUAAGGAGGUAGUUUUUGAGAUAGUGUGGUUUCAAGUAUAAAGGUAUAAAAAUAAGGGCAUAGAUAUUGGCCCACGUGUAUAUGGAGUCUUCAUCUAUGGGAUGGGAGCUUGCACAUCAGCAAGAGAUGUACUCAGGUGCCUACAUACAGGAAGAAGGAUGUACAUCUCCCAAGCAAAAAUACAUCUUGCAUGGAUUAAAAACUUUGAUUG